rnacentral:rRNA from 1 species
ACGAGUGGCAAACAGGUGCGUAACACGUGGGUAACCUACCUCGAAGUGGGAAUAACGACCCGAAAGGGUCGCUAAUACCGCAUAGUCUCGAGAGAGUAAAGCCGAAAGGCGCUUUGAGAGGGGCCUGCGUCCCAUCAGGUAGUUGGUGGGGUAAUGGCUCACCAAGCCGAUGACGGGUAGCUGGUCUGAGAGGACGAUCAGCCACACUGGCACUGAGACACGGGCCAG